rnacentral:rRNA from 1 species
AUAUGGGUCCAUAGUUAGUAUCUAUAUGUCUUCUUCUCUCUUUUUUCACGCGAGAGUAGUACUAGGAUGGGUGACCUCCUGGGAAGUCCUCGUGUUGCAUUCC